rnacentral:rRNA from 1 species
UACGUAGGCAGCAAGCGUUGUUCGGAAUUACUGGGCGUAAAGAGUGUGUAGGUGGUGCUCCAAGUCUGUUGUGAAAUCUCCCGGCUUAACUGGGAGGGUGCGGCGGAAACUGGAAUGCUUGAGGAUGGGAGAGGAAAGCGGAAUUCCUGGUGUAGCGGUGAAAUGCGUAGAUAUCAGGAGGAACACCCGUGGUGUAGACAGCUUUCUGGACCAUUUCUGACACUGAGACACGAAAGCGUGGGUAG